CUUUGUGCAGCUGCUUUGCACUAACGCAGGUCACGCUGCGGGCUCUGCAAAGCACAGGGAGAGCUCUUGCAUGCUUGUCCUUAAGAUGCGUUCGGGGCUGAUUUUUUCUUUGCGCUGAUUUGUUUGGGGGCACGUUUCCUUUUGUUGCGCUGUUGUCUUUUUGUUUGUUUUGUUUUGUUCUGAAGGAGGAAAUGACUGCGACCAGAAACUACAUUUCAUCAGGGACGUAAUUCUGAAUUCCUGCUCUGAGCGUGGGCUUUAUCUGGCUUCACCAGAACCGAAUAAUUCUGUUAAUUGGUAUUGUCUUCCUGCCUGCUCUGAGAAAUGCCCGUCUGAAGCCUCUGCAGAGUCUGAGAACAGAAGGCUACGAUUUGGCCAUAAAGCGUACGGCAGAAAGGAACCGAAGGGCUCGCAGCACCAGCCGGCACGAGAGAGCGCAGUGCUCGCUCUGCUGCUUCCUCAGCUGCUGAGGAAAUGGGACACGAGUGGAAAUGGCUUCAGUGUUCCCAUGGAACAGGGGAUGUGCAGAACGCGUUGGGCAUUACUCUCGGUGCGGCACAGUGUGCACAGCGCUGCGGCACGCAGGGAGGGACCUCUCAGCAUCUGGUCACCUUCAGCCAGCGUUGCCAAGUCACUGCUGCUCGGGAGCAGCCAGAGCACGGCUUCCACUUUCAGGCUCUUCCUUCCCCGUGCUGAAGCUGAGUAACAGAUUUGCAUACAAUAUGAAUACGCUGUUUUGUUUCUUGUAGCGCCCUGUAUUAAAAUUUCAGAAACCACUCUUAAAUAAAAGCUCUGUCAGCGUGACACAGCUGAGAUGUUACAAGUGCAUGCACGUGCAGAGGUG
ensembl:lncRNA